AACGAACGCUGGCGGCAGGCUUAACACAUGCAAGUCGAACGCCCCGCAAGGGGAGUGGCAGACGGGUGAGUAACGCGUGGGAACAUACCCUUUCCUGCGGAAUAGCUCUGGGAAACUGGAAUUAAUACCGCAUACGCCCUACGGGGGAAAGAUUUAUCGGGGAAGGAUUGGGCCGCGUUGGAUUAGCUAGUUGGUGGGGUAAAGGCCUACCAAGGAGACGAUCCAUAGCUGGUCUGAGAGGAUGAUCAGCCACAUUGGGAGUGAGACACGGCCCAAACUCCUACGGGAGGCAGCAGUGGGGAAUAUUGGACAAUGGGCGCAAGCCUGAUCCAGCCAUGCCGCGUGAGUGAUGAAGGCCUUAGGGUUGUAAAGCUCUUUCACCGAUGAAGAUAAUGACGGUAGUCGGAGAAGAAGCCCCGGCUAACUUCGUGCCAGCCGCCGCAGUAAGAC
rnacentral:rRNA from 1 species